rnacentral:rRNA from 1 species
GAUGAACGCUAGCGGGAGGCCUAACACAUGCAAGCCGAGCGGUAUUGUUUCUUCGGAAAUGAGAGAGCGGCGUACGGGUGCGGAACACGUGUGCAACCUGCCUUUAUCUGGGGGAUAGCCUUUCGAAAGGAAGAUUAAUACUCCAUAACAUAUUGAUUGGCAUCAAUUAAUAUUGAAAGCUCCGGCGGAUAGAGAUGGGCACGCGCAAGAUUAGCUAGUUGGUGAGGUAACGGCUCACCAAGGCGAUGAUCUUUAGGGGGCCUGAGAGGGUGAUCCCCCACACUGGUACUGAGACACGGACCAGACUCCUACGGGAGGCAGCAGUGAGGAAUAUUGGUCAAUAGGUGCAAGCCUGAACCAGCCAUCCCGUGUGAAGGACGACUGCCCUAUGGGUUGUAAACUUCUUUUGUAUAGGGAUAAACCUACCCUCGUGAGGGUAGCUGAAGGUACUAUACGAAUAAGCACCGGCUAACUCCGUGCCAGCAGCCGCCGUAACAC